rnacentral:rRNA from 1 species
GAUGAACGCUGGCGGCGUGCCUAAUACAUGCAAGUCGAGCGAACAGACGAGGAGCUUGCUCCUCUGACGUUAGCGGCGGACGGGUGAGUAACACGUGGAUAACCUACCUAUAAGACUGGGAUAACUUCGGGAAACCGGAGCUAAUACCGGAUAAUAUAUUGAACCGCAUGGUUCAAUAGUGAAAGACGGUUUUGCUGUCACUUAUAGAUGGAUCCGCGCCGCAUUAGCUAGUUGGUAAGGUAACGGCUUACCAAGGCAACGAUGCGUAGCCGACCUGAGAGGGUGUGCGGCCCAAAGGGAAAGGAACCAGGGCCCAAACCCUGAGGGGAGGAAGGAGGAGGGAAUUUCCGGCAAGGGGGAAAAGCCUGAGGGAGAAACGCCGGGGGAGUGAAAAAGGUUUGCGGAUGGGAAAACGUUGUUAUUAGGGAAGAAAAAAUGUGAAAGUAACGAAGAAGGUUUGGAGGGUACCAAAAAAAAAAACAACGGCAAACUAAGU